GACGAACGCUGGCGGCGUGCUUAACACAUGCAAGUCGAACGGAAAGGCCCUGCUUUUGUGGGGUGCUCGAGUGGCGAACGGGUGAGUAACACGUGAGUAACCUGCCCUUGACUUUGGGAUAACUUCAGGAAACUGGGGCUAAUACCGGAUAGGAGCUCCUGCUGCAUGGUGGGGGUUGGAAAGUUUCGGCGGUUGGGGAUGGACUCGCGGCUUAUCAGCUUGUUGGUGGGGUAGUGGCUUACCAAGGCUUUGACGGGUAGCCGGCCUGAGAGGGUGACCGGCCACAUUGGGAAUGAGAUACGGCCAAGACUCAUACGGGAGGCAGCAGUGGGGAAUAUUGCACAAUGGGCGGAAGCCUGAUGCAGCAACGCCGCGUGCGGGAUGACGGCCUUCGGGUUGUAAACCGCUUUCGCCUGUGACGAAGCGUGAGUGACGGUAAUGGGUAAAGAAGCACCGGCUAACUACGUG
rnacentral:rRNA from 1 species